rnacentral:rRNA from 1 species
UACGGGGGGGGCAAGCGUUGUUCGGAAUUACUGGGCGUAAAGGGCGCGUAGGCGGGCUGCCAAGUUUGGGGUGAAAUCCUCCGGCUCAACCGGAGAACGGCCUCAAAUACUGGCGGUCUCGAGGGGGGUAGGGGCAUGCGGAACUAUGCGUGGAGCGGUGAAAUGCGUUGAUAUGCAUAGGAACUCCGGUGGCGAAGGCGGCGUGCUGGACCCUUUCUGACGCUGAGGCGCGAAAGCCAGGGGAGCAAACGGG